rnacentral:rRNA from 1 species
UGUGCCCAGAUGGGAUUAGCUAGUAGGUGGGGUAACGGCUCACCUAGGCGACGAUCCCUAGCUGGUCUGAGAGGAUGACCAGCCACACUGGAACUGAGACACGGUCCAGACUCCUACGGGAGGCAGCAGUGGGGAAUAUUGCACAAUGGGCGCAAGCCUGAUGCAGCCAUGCCGCGUGUAUGAAGAAGGCCUUCGGGUUGUAAAGUACUUUCAGCGGGGAGGAAGGGAGUAAAGUUAAUACCUUUGCUCAUUGACGUUACCCGCAGAAGAAGCACCGGCUAACUCCGUGCCAGCAGCCGCGGUAAUACGGAGGGUGCAAGCGUUAAUCGGAAUUACUGGGCGUAAAGCGCACGCAGGCGGUUUGUUAAGUCAGAUGUGAAAUCCCCGGGCUCAACCUGGGAACUGCAUCUGAUACUGGCAAGCUUGAGUCUCGUAGAGGGGGGUAGAAUUCCAGGUGUAGCGGUGAAAUGCGUAGAGAUCUGGAGGGAUACCGGUGGCGA